rnacentral:misc_RNA from 1 species
UCGUAACAAGGUCUCCGUUGGUGAACCAGCGGAGGGAUCAUUACCGAGUUUACAACUCCCAAACCCAUGUGAACAUACCUACUGUUGCUUCGGCGGGAUUGCCCCGGGCGCCUCGUGUGCCCCGGAUCAGGCGCCCGCCUAGGAAACUUAAUUCUUGUUUUAUUUUGGAAUCUUCUGAGUAGUUUUUACAAAUAAAUAAAAACUUUCAACAACGGAUCUCUUGGUUCUGGCAUCGAUGAAGAACGCAGCGAAAUGCGAUAAGUAAUGUGAAUUGCAGAAUUCAGUGAAUCAUCGAAUCUUUGAACGCACAUUGCGCCCGCCAGUAUUCUGGCGGGCAUGCCUGUCUGAGCGUCAUUUCAACCCUCAUGCCCCUAGGGCGUGGUGUUGGGGAUCGGCCAAAGCCCGCGAGGGACGGCCGGCCCCUAAAUCUAGUGGCGGACCCGUCGUGGCCUCCUCUGCGAAGUAGUGAUAUUCCGCAUCGGAGAGCGACGAGCCCCUGCCGUUAAACCCCCAACUUUCCAAGGUUGACCUCAGAUCAGGUAGGAAUACCCGCUGAACUUAAGCAUAUCAAUAA